AGGCGGAAGAUGGAAAAUAUAUGCUGAAUCCAAUGAAUUGUCCAAUUACCUAUGAGGAGCCUCCAACACUCAUGCUCAACACGAUAAUUCUGAUGAUUUCUGCUCCUUUCUUAUAUGCGACCAUUCUGAUCUACUGGCUCAUCCCGGAGUUGUGGAACUUGCACACCAAAUGUUUAAUUUGCUAUCUACUGUCGUUAGCUAUUGGCACCACGAUGAUUGUAGUGACAAACAUCCAAAACUCGGAUUACGACAACGUGCUUUGCGCCAUUAUUGGAUUUGUGACGUACUAUUUCCUCACGGCGGUAUUUUUCUGGCUUAAUGUCAUCUGUUUUGAUCUUUGGCACAAUUUCCGCGGCACCAAAGGAAAUGUUCAGCAUUUGACUCAGAGAAAACGAUUCUUCUACUACGCUCUCUACGCUUGGGGUCUGCCGGCUCUGAUGACCGUUUUGACUAUAGCUUUGCAGUACUCCGAUUUGCCAAAUAAACUCAAGUCCGGUAUAGGAUAUUCCCAUUGUUGGUUGAAAGUUGACGACUGGUCAGCCAUGAUUUAUUUCUACGGACCCUGCCUAGUGCUUAUUGUUUUCAACAUGGUUAUAUUUUACCUAACCGCUGAGCGGAUCUACACCAUACGAAAGGAAUUGAAAAUGUUCUCUCAGGGCGAAGACAGCAGGCGACAUUUGCGUUCCCAAAAAAAUGAAACCAAUUUAAUGAAAUACUUUAGUUUAUGGCUCUUCUUUCGAUUGUUCAUUGUUAUGGGAAUCGGUUGGUUGCUGGAGGUGCUGGGCUAUAUUGUUGGCAGUAAGAGUGAGUACGCCAUUUUUUUCGCAUUUGCCGACAUUUACAACGCUUCUCAGGGUUUGAUUUUAUUUGUGCUGUUGGUUGUGAAGAAGAAGGUGCUGCUACUCAUAAAGAAGAGAAUUUUAUGCAUUGAGGGGUCUGAUACCACAGACUCAGCUGAUUCGCGGUGCUCUGAAGAGGACGUAGCGCUGCAAACUGUCACAAAUGGAAUUCCCUCGAUAUUGAAAUGAGUAAAUGAAUAGAGUCUUUAAACCGGGAAGCACUGUGCAGUCAUCAAAUGGGCGAACAACCAAAUCUAGUGCAUCGACCAGGGAACUGACUAAUCUGGCAAGUCGACA